GUUAUGUUCAGAAGCCGAAACCAAGCGGCCCUUUUGUCUUCAUCUCCUACACGCCAAAUCUAGGGUUCAUGUUCUUCUCUGAGUUGAAACAGAAGAUAGACAAUAUUUGAUUUGGUCUCUAUCGUCGACGGUAGGCAAAAUCAAUCCAGACUUUGACCCAAACCUAACUAAAAAGGUCUCCUUGAUUCAGCCAGCCACUAACCCCUAUUGUCAAAGAGAGAGAAACAAAGAAAGGCCGAUGCUUUCACGAGAAGAUGAACCCUGAAGUGGAACAAAAAUACAAAGAAGAGGAAGAGAUACAAUAUUGUGAAUUGCAAAGUAGUUGAAUAAGGCACUUAAGCUAAUGAAAACAAUGUUAAGGCAUAUGGAUACAAGUUGAUACGGACAUUAAAACAAAAUAUGGGAUUGUUCCUAGGAAAUUAUAUGUUGGGGGUAUUCUUUAUCAGAGAUGAAAUUCGUAUGUAUUUCAGCUAAUUCUUUCAACGAACUCCCUGCAACGCCCAUGAUCAUCUCAAGAGCUUGAUCACAUGCGCGAGCAUCACUGAGAGAAACACAUAGAAGAUUGUAGAGAUGAAAAAUUGAGAAGAUUUUGAAAGAAGACUCUUAUCUGUAAAUUACGAUGACUCAGUCUCCAAAUUAAAAUGGGAAAACCUUCUUUCCAAGCUGAAUGGCUUUACUUUGGCUUGGAGAUACAAUACUGACACUACGUUUACAUCCGGCUGCGUCACUUACGGACCACACCUGUAGAGUUGUUUUUUUAUAUGUUGGAGCUAGCAGACUCUUUUCUGGUUCCGUGGACAAUUCUAUAAAUGACAUUGAUAUGUUGCAGUAUUUGUUUUCAAGAACAACCAACUAGCUUUCGAGUCUGCUGCAACGGAUCUCGAUCAGCUGCAAACAACGUGUUCAUCCUAAUCGCUUUUAUCAUAUUUUAUGGGUUCUUGAUCAUUCCUAUUUCCUACCGCAGAUUUAUCACCUUCAAAGCUAUUUUUAACAAUUUCACAGGGAGACGACUUCACCAGAUUGGAUUUGUACGGAAACAAAAUCUUAACUUCUGUUUUCUUUUUUUUUUCUCCCUCUAGUUUAUCUGUUCUUUGCCGGCGUUUGUGUUAUGGUAAAAGGGCUUGGCGGAAGUUGCUUACGUGAAAAGAAGUCUGCAUAUCAAGCUAUGAAGAAAUACAUCAAUGUACAAUUAGCUGAAGAUCAUGUAGCUCACCGCCAAGCCCGUGAGCGUUCACAGAUUUGCAAUCAGACUACAACUGAGCUCUCUAUUGAUAAGAAAGACAAUAUAUAUGAUUUUGAGAAGACUUAUGAGAAAGAUUGAGGACCAGAUUGAAGCUUUAAGUUAGGACAGAGGGAAAGAUGGAGGAUACUUUUAUGUCGAUGAGAACUUUGUAGAAAAUGUUAUAGACAGGAAGUCAAGGUGCAGAUCAAACAUUGGUUUAGCGUUUUAGAAACGUGAGCAAGAUCAAAUGUAAAACUUGAAAGAGAGUCAGUGAUUGCAAGUGUGGAAAUGGGCACACAGCUUCAAGACUCUAUCAGUAAAUGUAUACAAUAUAUAAGGUCAUUUGUAAUGCUAUCCACCGGUCGCUUACGAUGACGGUAUUUGUCAAAAAUGCCUAGGCUAAGCCAACA